AGGCGCAGCAACACACACACACGCCUCGCCCCGUUGACGUCGAGGGGGGAACACCCCUCAGAGCGUGCGUGCGCGCGUGCUAUUCCAAGUUCCGGUGCGCCCCCGCCCACUCCCUGAGUGCGUUGGGGGAAGCCAGGCGGAGCCCCCCCAUCCCUGCCACCAUUCCCCCAUUGCCGCACCACCCCUCACCACGACAGGGUCAAGUCCUGGAUGGCGCUGCGCAAACGCUUGCUGCGGCAGUGCGCGCGCCUGUGCCACCCGUGUGCUGGGCAGGGCGCCCGCGUGGGUCGUGUGUGUCUCCCUCGGGCCCCCGCUGCCCACCGGUGGGUGGCCCCGAGGCGGGGGGUGGGAGGGCAGAGUGUGAGGGGCAGGGGGGCCGCGCGACCAGCCGACCGGGUCGGCACACCGCCACCACACGCGUUUGACAAAUGAUAUCCCCCUCGCGUGCUCGAUGGCCCUGUCUUCGCGUGCGGGUGUGGGUGUUCACCGUCCGUGCGCGAGGGGGGCGCCAGCUGGACUUUGACGGUUGCCGUUUGCGGACGCCCCGUCUGCGCUUUUCCUCUGCGUGCCUGUGGCACAACGCGGCCGAAAGCGACCUCCUCGGCCCCCGCGUUUCCCUGAACUCCGCUUGCCGGGUGCGGCUUGGGCGCCGCGAGGGGCGCGCGGGUGCGGCCUGCCACCCCCACCCCGCCAGCGGGCUGCGCCAACCCAACCACCAGCCCCCCGCCGAACGCAAAGCGAAAAAACACGCAGCCCACCCACACAGCGAAGCGGGAAGCCCACAGCCGACGACCCCACAGGGAAAACCCACCCGCGGGUUUUUCGAAAAAAACAGCCCCGGCCGCCCGGGCGGCACACAAAGGGGGCCCAACCCCCCGCCGCGCAGGGCCGCCCAAACCCCCUCACCCAAAACCAACACGCCGACCACACCGAAAAGCCAGGCAACCUAGGCACCCACCCCAUUUUGAACCCCACCAAGCCGCACCGCGGAUGCGCAGCCACCCCCGCAAAGAAAACCCUGAACGCCUGCGUUGUUGCCCGGGCCUCGCGGAAAAACGCCGUCACCACGGCAUUGCCGACGCCAGCGCCGAAAGCCACCCCCGCGGCCCCCCUCCCCCGGUUCGUCGGCGAGCCGUUUGGACUGCCCAAAACAGCCCCGCCCCCAUCGCCUGCGCAAACAACCCAUAGCGCCCCCCUUUCCAUCGUUUCUAGAUUAUCGAUCACCCCGGCUUCCCACCCCGACCAGUCAGAUGGGGAGUGGUUGCGGGCGGAAAAAGCACGCGGGCCAUCGGAAAGAAGCCCCCGCGCACAAGCGGUAGAGCCCGCCGAUGGAGCGCCAAAAGGUCACGGAGGGCCCCCCCCCCGCAGCAGCCUUCGCAGCGAUCACCCCCAAACGAAAACAGCACGGACACGCUGGAAACAUACGGAAAACAAACCGAAACGAAGCCAAGAUGAAAACACGAAAGGAAAACAAGCCAAUCCGAGAAGAGCACGCACCUCGUGGCAAAAGGUUUCCGCGUGCAGACAGCCAGCGCCCGUAACUCCGUUUCCCUCUGAUGUUUCACAGCCCUGUGGGUGGCGAAAAAAGACCAGAGAUCGCCCACAACCCGCUUGGAUUUUCGCAGGCUUUCAAGCAGAAGCCAACCAGAAAAUCACCAUGCCCCUUCCCAGGGUCCAAGAAACGGCCGCGACGCGCGGACCCAUGACCCAGCGCCACCCACCCCGGAACCCCAACAACCCCCUCUGGCCACCCCACCCUUUACCCGCGCAACAUGGAAGCCACAACGCACACGUCUCUCCCAAGAAGCCCCCCCCCCACACACACACACACACCGUUUUCCCAACCCAGACGCAAGCCCAAGGAAAAGAAACCCACAAAUCUUCAGACCACACGCCCACGAGGAUUUAUACGCCCCUGCCCCCACGCUAAGCGCAGGAGGGCGGAAAGCGUGUAGAUCACCUUUGCGGGCCAUGCGUUUUUGCCAGCGCCCACACCCAUGUGAUAUUUUCAUUCGAAUUCUGGCGUGGACAGGGCAUUCGGCCUGGCACGUUUUCUAUCCCUCUCUUCUUUACCUCCCCCUUUGGUAACUUUCCCACCCAUCGCCGCGCACACUGGGCAG
rnacentral:misc_RNA from 1 species